AUGACUCAACCAAAGUUCAUGGGCGGUAUGGGAUUCCGUGACAUCGAGCUCUUCAAUUUGGCGCUACUUCCUCGCCAAGCAUGGCGCUUACUUCAGGACCCUACGUCCUUGAGUGUCCGGAUUCUCAAGGCUGUUUACUACCCCACAUGCUCCAUCUUACAGGCGGAAUUGGGAAAUUACCCCUCUCAGGUAUGGCGAUCAAUUUUGGAAGGCAGAGAUACUCUCAAGCUUGGUCUUAUUAAAAGGAUUGGUAUGGGGGAGAACACUAACAUAUGGCUUGAUAAUUGGAUACCUCGUGAUUACCUAUUGAAACCUAUCUGCUCAAAGUCAGCGAACCCACCUCGUUUGGUUUCAGAACUUGUUGAUCACAGCUCGGCAUCCUGGAAUCAAGCCAAGUUAGAUGAGCACUUCAUUGACAUGGAUAAGGAGGCCAUUCUUAAUAUUCCUCUAAGUAUGCGGGUGCAAGAGGACUUCUGGUCAUGGCAUUAUGAGAAGAAGGGCAUUUUUUUAGUUCGAUCAGCUUAUAGAUUGCUGUCUGGGACAAAGAAAUAUCGAACCGACUGGCUGGAACAUAAACCGGGCCAGUCUAAUUUGGAGGCAGAAAGGAAAUCUUGGAAGAAGCUUUGGGGUAUGAAAGUGCCAUCUAAGAUCCGUGUGUUUGCAUGGCGGCUUGCUCAAACUUCGCCACCUACUGGUGAUGUCCGUAAUCACAGGACGAUGGCUGAUACGCCGGCAUGUGGGAUUUGUCAUGCGGUCCAAGACUCAUGGCGUCACUCAUUAUUUGAAUGUCGCAUGGCAAAAUGUGUGUGGGCACUCAUGGAGGAGGAGCUGACCGACGUUGUUAUCUUGAACCGCUCGGAAAAUGCUAAGGUAUGGCUGUUUUGGUUGUUCGACACGCUGCCACCGGCAGAGCUUACUCGUGUCCUCAUUACAAUGUGGGCAAUCUGGUGGGCACGGAGACGCGCCAUACACGACGAACAAUUCUAA
rnacentral:rRNA from 1 species